AUUGAACGCUGGCGGCAGGCCUAACACAUGCAAGUCGAGCGGUAGCACAGAGAGCUUGCUCUCGGGUGACGAGCGGCGGACGGGUGAGUAAUGUCUGGGAAACUGCCUGAUGGAGGGGGAUAACUACUGGAAACGGUAGCUAAUACCGCAUAACGUCGCAAGACCAAAGUGGGGGACCUUCGGGCCUCAUGCCAUCAGAUGUGCCCAGAUGGGAUUAGCUAGUAGGUGGGGUAACGGCUCACCUAGGCGACGAUCCCUAGCUGGUCUGAGAGGAUGACCAGCCUCACUGGAACUGAGACACGGUCCAGACUCCUACGGGAGGCAGCAGUGGGGAAUAUUGCACAAUGGGCGCAAGCCUGAUGCAGCCAUGCCGCGUGUGCGAAGAAGGCCUUCGGGUUGUAAAGCACUUUCAGCGGGGAGGAAGGCGUUAAGGUUAAUAACCUUGGCGAUUGACGUUACCCGCAGAAGAAGCACCGGCUAACUCCGUGCCAGCAGCCGCGGUAAUACGGAGGGUGCAAGCGUUAAUCGGAAUUACUGGGCGUAAAGCGCACGCAGGCGGUCUGUCAAGUCGGAUGUGAAAUCCCCGGGCUCAACCUGGGAACUGCAUUCGAAACUGGCAGGCUAGAGUCUUGUAGAGGGGGGUAGAAUUCCAGGUGUAGCGGUGAAAUGCGUAGAGAUCUGGAGGAAUACCGGUGACGAAGGCGGCCCCCUGGACAAAGACUGACGCUCAGGUGCGAAAGCGUGGGGAGCAAACAGGAUUAGAUACCCUGGUAGUCCACGCCGUAAACGAUGUCGAUUUGGAGGUUGUGCCCUUGAGGCGUGGCUUCCGGAGCUAACGCGUUAAAUCGACCGCCUGGGGAGUACGGCCGCAAGGUUAAAACUCAAAUGAAUUGACGGGGGCCCGCACAAGCGGUGGAGCAUGUGGUUUAAUUCGAUGCAACGCGAAGAACCUUACCUGGUCUUGACAUCCACAGAACUUUCCAGAGAUGGAUUGGUGCCUUCGGGAACUGUGAGACAGGUGCUGCAUGGCUGUCGUCAGCUCGUGUUGUGAAAUGUUGGGUUAAGUCCCGCAACGAGCGCAACCCUUAUCCUUUGUUGCCAGCGGUUAGGCCGGGAACUCAAAGGAGACUGCCAGUGAUAAACUGGAGGAAGGUGGGGAUGACGUCAAGUCAUCAUGGCCCUUACGACCAGGGCUACACACGUGCUACAAUGGCAUAUACAAAGAGAAGCGACCUCGCGAGAGCAAGCGGACCUCAUAAAGUAUGUCGUAGUCCGGAUUGGAGUCUGCAGCUCGACUCCAUGAAGUCGGAAUCGCUAGUAAUCGUAGAUCAGAAUGCUACGGUGAAUACGUUCCCGGGCCU
rnacentral:rRNA from 1 species